rnacentral:lncRNA from 1 species
UAGUGCGGACGCAUUAGUGGUUGCUCCUGAAACAGCAUCUGUGCGAGCGGGCGUCAAGUGCCAGUUGUUUCUUCCUCGAACUGCUAUCAUGAAUAAAUUGAUUGAGCUUGUUGCAAAGCAAGGAAUUCAUCCGACGGCACGCGUACGUAAGACCCCCGAGGAGGAAGAGCUCUAAGGCUAUAUAUAUUGGUAGGGUUAGGUGUGUACCGAGAGUAGAGCUUGGCUGAGUCGCCUGCUCCACACAUCGUAGUGUGGCUCUGAGGUGCUAGCAUCCUGCCACUGGGCGUCAGACGCUUGCGUGCGUCCUAGGCUGCUGUACUGCACAUUGCAUUAAUACUUCACUUAGCUUACGUGUGUACUGCAUUGCAUUAUUACUUCACGUAGCUUACGUGUAUUUAGUUGGAAAACUUAUCUGUAUGGAUUUGUUUAAAUAGAUUGCAUUAUUACUUCACUUAGCUUACGUGUAUUUAGUUAGAAAACUUAUCUGUAUGGAUUUGUUUAAAUAGAUUGCAUUAUUACUUCACUUAGCUUACGUGUAUUUAGUUGGAAAACUUAUCUGUAUGGAUUUAUUUAAAUAGAUUGCAUUAUUACUUCACUUAGCUUACGUGUAUUUAGUUGGAAAACUUAUCUGUAUGGAUUUAUUUAAAUAGAUUGCAUUAUUACCGUACUUCACUUCGCGUGUAUUUAGUUAGAAAUUUGGGUAGUAUCUGUAUGGAUUUAUUCAAGUAAUUUCAGUGUUGAGAUUCGUUCAUUUCGUUGUUUUUUAUUUAGAUUUUUUUCAGUGAGCAUGACUUCUUUUUGUAGUGAAGCACUUGAUUUUCUUCCAUGAAAAUGGAAAAUAUUUUUUGUUUCAACUCGAAUUCUUCAUAUAUCGAAUAUUAAUUCGUCAUAUAUCGGUAUGAUUCUGAAGAGCUAAGCUCAAUGAGAAUUUAAUAAUUUACAGUCUAAAAUACCUAGCCGCAUCAGAACAGUUCAGUCUAAUGAACUCUUGCCUAUUAUGAACUUUCUUUGUAAUAAGUCUGUAAUAAUUGUUAGAAAAUAAUAUCACUGUUUCUCAUCAACAUCGGGCUAGUACUUUUUUGGUAGGGAUGGGGGGAGGCAAAUAAGUUGUUAACAGUUCUUACUGUGGUAAUGAAUUAUUGGGGCAUUAGUCAUAUUAGCCUGUGCAUUUUUUAGUAUUUGAUUCCUUAAGUGUAGGAUGUCUUAGUAAAUGUGUACCUACAUUGAAUACUAAUCGUAGUUACCUCAUCAUCAUGUGAUACACGUUUUAGUGCAUCCUACUUCCUGUGGAACAGUUCAUUAUCAACAGUACGAGACUGUUGAUGGCCUUAGCGCUGUAGGUUGUUGGUUGAGCAAGACACGUCCGGUAGUAAUUGUGUCAUCAUCACUGUCCGCGAUCAAAUUCCAUCAAUGCACUAGAUUUUUUGCGCAGAUUACCAAUUGCUUUCUAAAGCAAUAAUUAUCAUAAAUUGAGUUACUCAAUCGGUGACAUCUCCGACAUAAUGGGUGAAGAUCACAGCCGACACUGCAACUGUGACCGCUGCAAGCAGCAGGGCGCUAAAAAGUGAACAUGAGGUGCUUAACUACAAGAAGCCCUGUGCCCUGGCGCAUCUCGAGUACCCUGCCUUCAAUACAAGCUGGAGAGAAAGAGUGGCCAGGGCCAGAGCAAGGAUGGCUGAGCAUCACCUGGAAUAUUGGAAGAUUAUGAUUAUUUUAAAUUAUCAAGAAUCUUCACUGUAAGGAGGGCGCCGAACAUCUAAGCGCCACAUUUUUGGCGCUUCCCUGAAUUUUACCCUUAAUUUCUGUGUAUGAGGAACGAUUAAAAUUUCUGUAAUGAGGGCUUCUCAACGAGGUUUGAAUAUAAUCUGCUUGAUGUCCAGACGUGAGCGGCUUUCUUAUCAGUGAGGAGUCCGACUCUAAAAAAUCUUGUCUGGUUCAGCGAUGAUAAUCCUGUUAUAUUUGGCUAAUGGACGAAAAAAUUUCAUUGUAAUUUUCAUAUAACUGCUGCACAAGAUUGAAAGGAUAAAGAGCCGAUUAAUAUUUUCUAUUUAUAAUUACCUAACGUUACAUAAGAAACUAAAUAAGUUCUUACCUAUCUUUUUUUAAAUCUAUUUAAUUAACAGGAAAAUAUUCGCGACGGUUAUUUUAUUGAUGUCAAAUUCUCUAAACACUACGACCCGUUAAAAUUUGUUUGAUUGUUGAUUGUCUUAUUGUAUUGGAAAAUCAAAUAAAAUAUGUCACUUCUACUCAGCAUUGUAACACAUGAGUGCAAUCAAUUUUUGGUUUCUGGUUUCAUAUGUAAGCUUUAGAUUAUUAUUCGUGUCCACAUAGUUCUAUCAAUGCGUUAUUAAGAUAAAAAUAAAUCGUGUCAAUGAUUAGUUCAUGGCCGGCAUUUCCGCUCAAAGGCUGCGUUGUUUCUAAACCUUGGCACUCAAUUCACUGCUGUGGACGUCCUGCGUGUGACGUUUAAGUUCCUCAAAAGGCCUGAAUCAUGACCAGAAUUACGUCUGUGCAUAAAAUAUAGAAACUGUUUCAGUUUGCCCAGUAGGACUUGAAUUUUUUUUUUACAAAUAACGCCCUCCCACCACCUGUGAACGUUACUGUUGUGUGGCAAUUUUGCUUCUUGUGUUCAGUUUUGAUCUCUUUGUGCAAGCGUGUAUUGUACCGUCUAUGUAUUAUUUCAUAUUUAACUGGAAAUAUAUGGAUGUUCAUGUUGUGCAUCUUGUCGUAAGUGUUGUACGUUUUAUCUUGUGAAUUGUAACGCUAGUCAUGAAUGGAAGAAAGUCGAUGUGUUCGUUGGCUUCAUUAAUUCUUCGUGACGUACCGAAAAAAUGUUCUGCUAAUUUUUGUUUCGCUUACUGUGAUGACUUUCUUAUUUUAAAGUUGUAACGUGUUAUUUUAUGUAACCUCUCAUUAAAACUUAUGGUAGAGCCGGCAUUCAGAAACAUUUCUUGUGCUAGUUGUUUCAAUACAUCAUUUCCACCAUACGAUU